GUAACCAUCUAGCAAUGAUGACCCGACAUCCAGAUAGGUCGAAUGAAGGCGAAACAACAUUCAAGAACCCAUUGGUGUAUGGUUACUGUAUAAUUCAUCCCUUUGACCCUAAUGCUCAAGGAUGACCUAAGAUUUGACUGUUAAUCUUGGAUAAGUCAUCCACAUUAUAUUUCAAUCUUUUUCAAAUCCAUCACAUGGGUUACUCGGGCCC
rnacentral:lncRNA from 1 species